CCCGCGGUAGCUCAGCCUGGUAGAGCUUCCGGCUGUAGACCGGAGCGUCGUCGGCUCAAAUCCGACCCGCGGGA
rnacentral:tRNA from 2 species